rnacentral:rRNA from 1 species
AACGUAGGGGACAAGCGUUAUCCGGAUUUACUGGGCGUAAAGAGCUCGUAGGCGGUUCGUCGCGUCGGCUGUGAAAUCCCGAGGCUCAACCUCGGGUCUGCAGUCGAUACGGGCGGACUGGAGUACUGCAGGGGAGACUGGAAUUCCUGGUGUAGCGGUGAAAUGCGCAGAUAUCAGGAGGAACACCGGUGGCGAAGGCGGUUCUCUGGGAAUGACCUGACGCUGAGGAGCGAAAGUGUGGGGAGCGAACAGG